rnacentral:rRNA from 1 species
GAUGAACGCUGGCGGCGUGCCUAAUACAUGCAAGUCGAGCGAACAGAUGAGGAGCUUGCUCCUCUGACGUUAGCGGCGGACGGGUGAGUAACACGUGGAUAACCUACCUAUAAGACUGGGAUAACUUCGGGAAACCGGAGCUAAUACCGGAUAAUAUAUUGAACCGCAUGGUUCAAUAGUGAAAGACGGUUUUGCUGUCACUUAUAGAUGGAUCCGCGCCGCAUUAGCUAGUUGGUAAGGUAACGGCUUACCAAGGCAACGAUGCGUAGCCGACCUGAGAGGGUGAUCGGCCACACUAGAACUGAGACACGGUCCAGACGCCUACGGGAGGCAGCAGUAGGGAAUCUUCCGCAAUGGGCGAAAGCCUGACGGAGCAACGCCGCGUGAGUGAUGAAGGUCUUCGGAGCGUAAAACUCUGUUAUUAGGGAAGAGCAAAUGUGUAAGUAACUAUGCACGUCUUGACGGUACCUAAUCAGAGAGCAACGGCUAACUACGUG